GGCGUGUGAAUAGGGAAUUGGAAGUUUUGGUUUUGAUUCUUAUUUAGGUAGCAAUAUUUUUAGUUUCAUUUUCAGAUUAUUAUUUUUUGUUAUUGAAUAUAUAUAUUUUUUAAUUUGUUCAGAGAAUCGGUAUAUCUCAAGAUUAUAUAUUAAAUCAGAAAAUAUUAUACUAAUUUUGUAACUUUAUGUGAUAAAAGUAAGUUGUAUAUUUAUCAUUUUGAAAUAGUAGAUAUUUUUAGUGUAAAUAGAGA
rnacentral:lncRNA from 1 species